UACGUAGGGUCCGAGCGUUGUCCGGAAUUAUUGGGCGUAAAGGGCUCGUAGGCGGUUCGUCGCGUCGGGAGUGAAAACUCGGAGCUCAACUCCGAGCCUGCUUCCGAUACGGGCAGACUAGAGGUAGGCAGGGGAGAGCGGAACUCCUGGUGUAGCGGUGGAAUGCGCAGAUAUCAGGAAGAACACCCGUGGCGAAAGCGGCUCUCUGGAACGGUACUGACGCUGAGACGCGAAAGCGUGGGGAGCGAACAGG
rnacentral:rRNA from 1 species